AUAUAUAAUAAAGCUAGGCAUAGACAAGGUGAUGUGACACCUCUCUAAGGCCAUCAUUGCUAUUUAUCUUUUUUGUGGUUUUUUUGCCUUUUUUCCCAAAUACUUUUAUUUAAAUUAUUUUUAAAAAUCUAAAAGUGGCUAAAUAAUUAUAUUAUUAAAUGAGGAAGAGAUAAUUGCAUAACUAAAUGAGGAGCACAUUUAGUCCUCUGCGUCAUAAUUGUAACUGUAUACUAUUUUAUAUUUAUAUCAUUAAAUAAUUCUCAAAGAUAAUCUCCUCAAUUACUAAAGUAAAUGCAAAAAAACUUUUAGGAAAUGAAAGAUCAAUAACUAUUAGUAAGAGAAUGCAUAAGAACUGAUAACCGAUGAUAUAUUGAAGCUUUAUUUACUGUUAAUCAAUGUCAAUAAUGUGAUAGUGGAGGAUUAAUGGAUUAAUAUAUACUAUUAGGUUCAUUCUCAUCUUUUCUUCUCCAUGCCUAUGUUUUCACUUUUCACCAAUACCAGUAGACUAAAUGUCCUUUUCGCUCAACAUUUUUUCGUACGAAGACAUGACUAAUUGUUGGAUCAAGAUAACCUUCAUAUAGUUACGUGUCAACGAUGAAUAAAAUGAUUGAUCUAUAGUUCAUAAUGGGAUGUCGAUAAUUUUUCCCUUAUCUUUUGUUGUAUCUACAUGUUUUUUUUUUUCUAGCGUUUCUUAUUGCUUGUGCACUUCUUCCUCUUCACAAAAUUCUCAUCUUUAAUCACAGGAGAAACAAGAAGACAUAUGGAUAAUAACAAUGCCUAUGAAAGCGGGCUGAUGAAUUGGACUACAAAGAGACAAAAAAAUAAACAAUUUCAGACGCUCUACCUCUCUCGGAUUUGGGGAUGAAGAUAGAAGUCUUUGAUGCUAAAUAAAGCUGUUGCAAGAAAUAAAGAAUCAACAAAUAAUUUGGGUUUAUCCAAAUAAUUCUUUCGUA